rnacentral:lncRNA from 1 species
AAAGUACUACUACCACUAUAUUCACACAUAUAUCUUGAUUACAUUUAACCAAAUACAACCUUUCCACGAACUUACAUUCUUUUGCAUACACCUUACAUAUCUGUCAUCCAAAAACAUAUGAAUUUACAUUAUUUAUAUAUUUGCAUUCCAUUACACCUUUCAUUAUAACCAAAAGAUGAACAAAGUACCACUAAUACACGGGUGUCUGCUACCUAGGGCACUAUGCCCUUACCGCGAUUCUCAACCGCCUCACUCGGGCCCGGAUCUGAAAAAUGGUGGGGUGAGAAUUAUAAGAAAGUUCCCAGUGGGUUCGGCCGCCGACCCCGCCGACUUUCCCACUAGGUCUAACCAGGCAUAAGUAGAAGAAAGAACAUAUAGAUAGAUAGAUAGCCAUUUCUAAUCAAAUGCAGCUACUAUGCCUGAACAAGAAUGACAACCAAUAUAUAGGAUGCUCAUGAU